GAUUGUGUGAUGUACGCCAAGAAGGAAAUUUUGAUUUAUGUUCUAUCAGUAACUUUGAUCUCAUGUAGUCUACAAAAGGAUGCAUCAUCACUUUCUAGUUACAUGUAUUCGAGUUUAGAAGGUUUUCAUUGCCAAAUCUAUCAGUAACUUUGAUCUAAGCCUACCACAUUUCUUAAGAGAUUUGUAGAUGUUCAUCAAUCAGUUGGUCCUGCAUCAAAUAAGCCUGUUGUGCUGCUACUGUUAAACUUGCCAAUGGAGAAGGGAGUUUUUCGUAUCAACCCUCCUUUAAAAAUCUCACUUAUUUGUAUUGGUGGCAGUAGUUUGACAGUUUCAUCACUUUUGCGUUGAAGUAUCAGCAUAUGAAAUAAGUUUGUUUAAUUUUAAGUUUUCUUGUGAUUGAUUUCUUUUCAGUUUUCCUAAUAUGAUAUUAUAAAAUUAACUAUGGUAAAAUGUAAUCGUACUCAUGUUAGGUGUUAUUAGCCAAUGCAAUAUUUGUUAGUCCUUUUUUAGCUAAUAUUGACAGUAUCAAUUGUUUUGGGCAGUUCUGUUCAACGUGCUUAAUUUCCUGAUAAGUACAGCUGAUUUAUUGGUAUUUGCUGAUAUUUCAAAACUUGAUAUUAUGUUUACCUAGGUCCGAUCGAUCAGGGAAUUGGUCUAAAUACAUCUUUCUAUAUAACAACCAAAUCUAUCUCCUCUAUUAUACUGAAGCAUAUUUACUUUGCUAUGUGUGAAUCUCUGUUUCAAUUUGUUUCUAUUAAUUUGGUCUUAACAUAUAUGGAUGAUAAAUAUAUAUCUUAAUAGUUAAUAAUACACAAUUAGUAUGACGUAAGUAUUUAAUAAUCAUAAAUUACGACAUCGACAGAGUGUCCUAGAAAAGUGUCAGAAAUUAAUAUUAGUCUUAUAUAUUUAUUGUUUUCUAUUUCACUCCCUACUUUUACUACUUGCAUAUGCUCAUCUUAAAGCAAUCUUGGAUUUUGAUGUAAUGCCCAGGUAAGCCUAAAGGAUCAGAUAUCGUGCUGGAAGCAAUACUGGAAGCAGAGGUGGCUCAAAAUGCCAAACAUUUCUUCUCACAGCCAGGGAACCAGAUACCUGAAGAUAUACCAAAACGAUGUCGCAGGGAAGAGCGAGGAGGGUCGUGCAUUGUAGCCGGUGUAAUCAGUCGCGGGGAAGAGCCGGUGUAAUCAGUUAGAACUACUUGUGCAGCUCCUUUAUGAAACAAGGUUUCUCUGCAAUAAUGAGAAAAGUUUAGAUUCAUCAUAUAGUCUGUGUUCUUUCUUUUUUAGCUUGUAGAGAGUUUUGAAUUAUAGUGAAUAUUGUGAUGGGUUCUUGUAUGGUGUGCCAAAUUGAAGGCUGUGGAGGAAAUUGCAUUUUAGUAGGGAGAAGAGCAUUGGUUAAGUUUACAUAUGCGUGCUGGUGAUACAUAAUGUAAAUGAUGAAGCAUUUUUUUGUGUUGAAAAACGAUUAAGUGUACAAAGCGUUGCUUUUUCAUC